UCCUUGUGUUUAGACAUGACUCAGUUUAAUGACAAAUGAAGGGGUGAAAUGCUCCCAGUUUAGACCGGAUCAUGCAAUCCGGUAGCAAUUAUGGCUGCUGGUUUGGCGAUCUGGUAGUGAUGGCAGAGCAAAGCUCCACCCACCCACCCAGGUGUCAUUACGUCCUGGUUUUAACCAGGAAGUAAUGUGUCUUUUAUGUUCUGCUCAUAAACAGGUUUUGUGCGUGCGCAGGUCUGCGCACACAUGUGACGUACACACAUGGCGUAUGCACUUCUGAACCGGUAAGGAAGGGUCCAAUGUUCACAACCAUAGAUAGGGAUAGGGAACACAAUAGAGCGGAGUAACUUACAUUUGAUUGCCAGGCUGAUGUCCUUGCUUUUCCAUAUUUGACUCAUGUUCAUCAUUGUUGGGCGACCCAGUGCAAUCGAACAUUUUAUUUCUUGGCUGCAUUUACUGCUUUGAGCAAUCUGCGACACUAGGAAAGUGAAUUUUCACACACAUUCAACCUCUUCAUCAUCAAUUGCUACCAUCCCUGUCCUACUGUUCCCAUUUAUUCAUACCCAUUUCUUAUGUAUAUACUUAUACCUGUUUAUACUUAUAUGUUUAUAUAUUAUGUUCAUACUUAUACUUGUUUUCUCAUACAUGCUUGACAAACUAAAUAAAUAAAUUUCUAUUUUAAUAUUUC